rnacentral:rRNA from 1 species
UACGAAGGGUGCAAGCGUUGUUCGGAUUUAUUGGGCGUAAAGCGCGCGCAGGCGGAUCUGCAAGUCAGGUGUGAAAUCUCGGGGCUCAACCCCGAAACUGCGCCUGAAACUGCAAAUCUAGAAUAUCGGAGGGGGCAGGGGAAUUUCACGUGUAGGGGUAAAAUCCGUAGAGAUGUGAAGGAACACCGGAGGCGAAGGCGCCUGCCUGGACGAUGAUUGACGCUGAGGCGCGAAAGCGUGGGGAGCAAACAGG